AUGGCCACCACCAACACCAAAGCCAUAGUAUCCCCCUGCGCCAUCCUCCUCAUCUUAAUCCUCAUAGAUAUGGCUUCUGUCCAGGUGUGUGGUGACAACAUACCACCUCCACCGAUACUAGUUCCGCCACCAUCAGCCCGCGGCGGCCGAUGCAUGUUGAACGAUGAAGUUGCACUCGCAGUGUGCGUCGACCUCCGAUUGGGCAGGACGAGCCCAUCAGGCAUGGACAUGUGUUGCCGGUGGAUCCAUGGAAUGCCGAGCGCCGUGGGCUGUUUGUGCUCUGCCUUCAGGCGGGCCGACAUCCAUGUCUCCGCCAGUGUUGCCGACGACAUCAAUGUUGUGCUCGCAGUCUGUGGCAAGGCUCUUGUCCCCGACCUUAACUGUUUCCAUGGAUCAGGCUAA
rnacentral:rRNA from 1 species